rnacentral:rRNA from 1 species
CACACUGGCUUGUCAAAGUCUGAUCUCGUCUGAUCUCGUCAGAUCUCAGAAGCUAAGCAGGGAUGGGUCUGGUUAGUACUUGGAUGGGAAACAGCUGUGAAUAUAAGCUGCCACAGUGG